UACGUAGGGCGCAAGCGUUGUCCGGAAUUAUUGGGCGUAAAGAGCUCGUAGGCGGUCUGUCGCGUCCGUUGUGAAAACUCGAGGCUCAACCUCGGGCUUGCAGUGGAUACGGGCAGACUAGAGUGCGGUAGGGGAGACUGGAAUUCCUGGUGUAGCGGUGGAAUGCGCAGAUAUCAGGAGGAACACCGGUGGCGAAGGCGGGUCUCUGGGCCGAUACUGACGCUGAGGAGCGAAAGCAUGGGUAGCGAACAGG
rnacentral:rRNA from 1 species